ACGAACGCUGGCGGCGUGCUUAACCCAUGCAAGUCGAACGGAAAGGCCCUGCUUUUGUGGGGUGCUCGAGUGGCGAACGGGUGAGUAACACGUGAGUAACCUGCCCUUGACUUUGGGAUAACUUCAGGAAACUGGGGCUAAUACCGGAUAGGAGCUCCUGCUGCAUGGUGGGGGUUGGAAAGUUUCGGCGGUUGGGGAUGGACUCGCGGCUUAUCAGCUUGUUGGUGGGGUAGUGGCUUACCAAGGCUUUGACGGGUAGCCGGCCUGAGAGGGUGACCGGCCACAUUGGGACUGAGAUACGGCCCAGACUCCUACGGGAGGCAGCAGUGGGGAAUAUUGCACAAUGGUCGGAAGCCUGAUGCAGCAACGCCGCGUGCGGGAUGACGGCCUUCGGGUUGUAAACCGCUUUCGCCUGUGACGAAGCGUGAGUGACGGUAAUGGGUAAAGAAGCACCGGCUAACUACGUG
rnacentral:rRNA from 1 species